CUGGGGGACCCGGCCCGCAGAGCUGCCCGAGCUGCUGGGGCGGGGUACCUGUGCUUCGGCAGCUUUCUGUUGUGUUUCAAUGGAGGUGAGGCUUUACAGCCCCAAAAGAGUAAUGUACGUGCUUCGCUCUGUAGGUGGGGACUCGAUGGAAGCGCUUACACAUGUUCAAGGCACAGCUGGUUGUGUUUUGGGGGCAGGGGCUCAGCCUGAAGUGUGAAAGCCCCCUCCUGCCACAGCCACAUCUGCUGCAC
rnacentral:lncRNA from 12 species